rnacentral:rRNA from 1 species
UACGGAGGGUGCAAGCGUUAUCCGGAUUCACUGGGUUUAAAGGGUGCGUAGGUGGGCAGGUAAGUCAGUGGUGAAAUCUCCGGGCUUAACCCGGAAACUGCCAUUGAUACUAUCUGUCUUGAAUACCGUGGAGGUGAGCGGAAUAUGUCAUGUAGCGGUGAAAUGCUUAGAUAUGACAUAGAACACCAAUUGCGAGGGCAGCUCACUACACGAAUAUUGACACUGAGGCACGAAAGCGUGGGGAUCAAACAGG